AGAGUUUGAUCAUGGCUCAGAUUGAACGCUGGCGGCAGGCCUAACACAUGCAAGUCGAACGGUAACAGGAAGCAGCUUGCUGCUUUGCUGACGAGUGGCGGACGGGGGAGUAAUGUCUGGGAAACUGCCUGAUGGAGGGGGAUAACUACUGGAAACGGUGGCUAAUACCGCAUAACGUCGCAAGACCAAAGAGGGGGACCUUCGGGCCUCUUGCCAUCAGAUGUGCCCAGAUGGGAUUAGCUAGUUGGUGAGGUAACGGCUCACCAAGGCGACGAUCCCUAGCUGGUCUGAGAGGAUGACCAGCCACACUGGAACUGAGACACGGUCCAGACUCCUACGGGAGGCAGCAGUGGGGAAUAUUGCACAAUGGGCGCAAGCCUGAUGCAGCCAUGCCGCGUGUAUGAAGAAGGCCUUCGGGUUGUAAAGUACUUUCAGCGGGGAGGAAGGUGUUGUGGUUAAUAACCACAGCAAUUGACGUUACCCGCAGAAGAAGCACCGGCUAACUCCGUGCCAGCAGCCGCGGUAAUACGGAGGGUGCAAGCGUUAAUCGGAAUUACUGGGCGUAAAGCGCACGCAGGCGGUCUGUCAAGUCGGAUGUGAAAUCCCCGGGCUCAACCUGGGAACUGCAUUCGAAACUGGCAGGCUUGAGUCUUGUAGAGGGGGGUAGAAUUCCAGGUGUAGCGGUGAAAUGCGUAGAGAUCUGGAGGAAUACCGGUGGCGAAGGCGGCCCCCUGGACAAAGACUGACGCUCAGGUGCGAAAGCGUGGGGAGCAAACAGGAUUAGAUACCCUGGUAGUCCACGCCGUAAACGAUGUCUACUUGGAGGUUGUGCCCUUGAGGCGUGGCUUCCGGAGCUAACGCGUUAAGUAGACCGCCUGGGGAGUACGGCCGCAAGGUUAAAACUCAAAUGAAUUGACGGGGGCCCGCACAAGCGGUGGAGCAUGUGGUUUAAUUCGAUGCAACGCGAAGAACCUUACCUGGUCUUGACAUCCACAGAACUUUCCAGAGAUGGAUUGGUGCCUUCGGGAACUGUGAGACAGGUGCUGCAUGGCUGUCGUCAGCUCGUGUUGUGAAAUGUUGGGUUAAGUCCCGCAACGAGCGCAACCCUUAUCCUUUGUUGCCAGCGGUUAGGCCGGGAACUCAAAGGAGACUGCCAGUGAUAAACUGGAGGAAGGUGGGGAUGACGUCAAGUCAUCAUGGCCCUUACGACCAGGGCUACACACGUGCUACAAUGGCGCAUACAAAGAGAAGCGACCUCGCGAGAGCAAGCGGACCUCAUAAAGUGCGUCGUAGUCCGGAUUGGAGUCUGCAACUCGACUCCAUGAAGUCGGAAUCGCUAGUAAUCGUGGAUCAGAAUGCCACGGUGAAUACGUUCCCGGGCCUUGUACACACCGCCCGUCACACCAUGGGAGUGGGUUGCAAAAGAAGUAGGUAGCUUAACCUUCGGGAGGGCGCUUACCACUUUGUGAUUCAUGACUGGGGUGAAGUCGUAACAAGGUAACCGUAGGGGAACCUGCGGUUG
rnacentral:rRNA from 1 species